rnacentral:rRNA from 1 species
AUUGAACGCUGGCGGCAGGCCUAACACAUGCAAGUCGAACGAGUGGCGGACGGGUGAGUAAUUUCUGGGAAACUGCCUGAUGUAGGGGGCUAACUACUGGAAACGGUAGCUAAUACCGCAUACCAUCGGAUCUGCCCAGAUGGGAUUAGCUAGUCGGUGGGGUAAAGGCUCACCUAGGCGACGAUCCCUAGCUGGUCUGAGAGGAUGACCGGCCACACGGGAACGGAGACACGGUCCAGACUCCUACGGGAGGCAGCAGUGGGGAAUAUUGCACAAUGGGCGCAAGCCUGAUGCAGCCAGGCCGCGUGUAUGAAGAAGGCCUUCGGGUUGUAAAGUACUUUCAGCGGGGAGGCGUUACCCCCAGAAGAAGCACCGGCUAACUCCGUGCCAGCAGCCGCGGUAAUUC